AUGGCGAGUGGCGAACGGGUGAGUAAAGCAUCGGAACGUACCGUGUAGUGGGGGAUAACGUAGCGAAAGUUACGCUAAUACCGCAUAUUAUCUGAGGAUGAAAGCGGGGGACUAAGCAGCAAUGUUGGCCUCGCGCCUUUGGAGCGGCCGAUGUCAGAUUAGGUAGUUGGUGGGGUAAAAGGCCUACCAAGCCGACGAUCUGUAGCUGGUCUGAGAGGACGACCAGCCACACUGGGACUGAGACACGGCCCAGACUCCUACGGGAGGCAGCAGUGGGGAAUUUUGGACAAUGGGCGCAAGCCUGAUCCAGCAAUGCCGCGUGCAGGAAGAAGGCCUUCGGGUUGUAAACUGCUUUUGUACGGAACGAAAAGGCUCUGGUUAAUACCUGGGGCUCAUGACGGUACCGUAAGAAUAAGCACCGGCUAACUACGUG
rnacentral:rRNA from 1 species